rnacentral:misc_RNA from 1 species
AUUUAAAAAUGGCAACUCCAGCAAAGAGGCCACGUGAGGAAAAUAAUGAUCAAAACAAUGUCAAUGCAGACCUCAAAACUCUUUGUACAAACAGGGCAAAUGCGUUUCUCAAAUGGUUUUCUUCAAAUGAUGACAACUUCUUUAGUGGAAAGGUAACUAUUGGACCAGAUGGUUCUUGUGCUCAAAAUGGCAUGGUCGCUAUUGCAGAUGUUCAAGAGGGAGAAAGUCUUUUUCGAAUUUCAAGAAAAAUUCUUUUACACCCGAAGUCCUCCAGCAUUUCAGCAUUGUUUGAGAAGGACCCUGUGAACAGUGAGAGCGGAUGGUCAGAGUUGCUAAUCUGUAUGAUGCAUGAAUACAAUGCAAAGGAUUCUCCCUGGAAACCAUACUUUGACGUGCUCCCUGAAACAGUCGAUCUGCCAAUGUUUUGGACUGAAGAAGAGCGAGAGAAGCUGCUGACUGGAACAGGAGUUGUAGAGGCAGUGAACCGUGACAACAAGAAAAUCCUGACAGAGUUCCAAUCAGUUGUCUCCCCUUAUUUGAAAAAACACAAAGACACUAUCAGUGAAAGCUGUGAUGACUUGGAGCUGUACAAGAGAAUGGUGUCCUAUGUAAUGGCAUACAGCUUCACCGAGCCACCCAAAGAUGAUGACAGCGAUGACUUUGGUGAAGAAGAGGAGGAAGAAGAAAAGUCCACCAUUUACAUGGUCCCAAUGGCUGACAUGUUGAACCACAUAGCCAACAACAAUGCUCAUCUGUCCUUUAAACCAGACUGUCUAGAAAUGAUUGCCACUAAGGACAUCAAAAAGGGAGAGGAGGUGUUUAACACCUAUGGAGAAUUGGCAAACUGGCAUCUCCUGCACAUGUAUGGCUUUUCUGAGGCCUACCCUGCCAAUCACUAUGACACUGUAGAUAUACCCCUUGACCUGAUUCUGGACAUUGCGGAAGAGGAUGCAGAAAACAAAGAGUUUGCCAGGAAAAAAUCAUCGUUCUUUAAACAAAAGGUGAUGGAGGAUUUGAUAGGCGACAUUGUGGUGGGCACUAAUGGGAUUCUAACAGAUGACAGAUUGUUCAUGGUGCUAAAGGUGAUGGAAAUGAGCCCCUCACAAUUUGCCAUAUAUGAGGAAGAAUGUGAGGAAGGCUGGGAAGAGGACCUAGAUGAGGACACAUCUGUCCUCACAGAGUUUGGUGAGUCUUGAGCUUAUCAAUUAAAGGGACCAAACUCUGUCAAUAUGAUAUAAAGGACAGUUACAGCAUUUGAUAAGAUAAAAGUCAGAAAAAAUGAAAGAUCUGAGCCAGACUUGGAAAACUAUUAUCUAUAGAUCAGCAACAGAGUCCCUCAAGCGAUACAAGACAAAUGUGCAAGAAGACGAGGAGAAACUGAAACAGAUCGAUUCCCUUAACUCCCGCCAGCAAUAUUCUCUACACCUCUGUUAUGGACAAAAAAUGUUACUAUAUAAAUUAAUAAAUGCAUGUAAAUG